GCACGCUGGCGGCGUGCUUACACCUGCAAGUCUGAACGAACUUCGGGUUAGUGGCGGACGGGUGAGUAACGCGUGAGAAUCUGCCCUCAGGAGGGGGACAACAGUUGGAAACGACUGCUAAUACCCCAUAUGCCGCGAGGUGAAAUGAAUUUCGCCUGAGGAUGAGCUCGCGUCUGAUUAGCUAGUUGGUGUAGGUAAUGGCUCACCAAGGCAUCGAUCAGUAGCUGGUCUGAGAGGAUGAUCAGCCACACUGGGACUGAGACACGGCCCAGACUCCUACGGGAGGCAGCAGUGGGGAAUUUUCCGCAAUGGGCGAAAGCCUGACGGAGCAACGCCGCGUGAGGGAUGAAGGCCUCUGGGCUGUAAACCUCUUUUAUCAAGGAAGAAGAUCUGACGGUACUUGAUGAAUGAGCCACGGCUAAUUCCGUGCCAGCAGCCGCGGUAAUACGGGAGUGGCAAGCGUUAUCCGGAAUUAUUGGGCGUAAGCGUCCGCAGGCGGCCCUUCAAGUCUGCUGUUAAAAAGUGGAGCUUAACUCCAUCAUGGCAGUGGAAACUGUUGGGCUUGAGUGUGGUAGGGGCAGAGGGAAUUCCCGGUGUAGCGAUGAAAUGCGUAGAUAUCGGGAAGAACACCACGUGGCGAAAGC
rnacentral:rRNA from 1 species